UACGGAGGAGGCAAGCGUUAUCCGGAAUUAUUGGGCGUAAAGCGUCCGCAGGUGGCACCUCAAGUCUGCUGUCAAAGACCGGGGCUUAACCCCAGAAAGGCAGUGGAAACUGAAGUGCUAGAGUGCAGUAGGGGUAGAGGGAAUUCCCGGUGUAGCGGUGAAAUGCGUAGAGAUCGGGAAGAACAUCGGUGGCGAAAGCGCUCUGCUGGACCAUAACUGACACUCAGGGACGAAAGCUAGGGGAGCGAAUGGG
rnacentral:rRNA from 1 species